CAAUAAUAAACGCAAAUGGCCGGCUUAAGUGAAUUGUAAUGCGUACGUCAGCCGAUUUUAACGGUAAAUUGUGGCGAGCACGCGUGUGGAUGUGAUUGACGCACGACAUACCGAUUAUUAAAAGACACAGGAAUUCAACACAACGUCGCAUUGAUUUGUUUUCUUCCUUGGUUCAGCCAUUCUCGGACUGUUUUUUUUUUUAUCGACACUUGUGCAUUCCACUUUGUUUGCUGAUCGAAUAUUAAAUCAUAUUUACGUUCCUAUUUCGGGAUCGGAUUACUCAUGUGCACUGUGAUGCACACGCCAGCAAGUCCGUUGACUUCGGGCGAAUGGGAGAGAGAGAGAGAGAGAGAGUGCUGAAUAUCAAUAAAAAUGUAUGCUGAUAAAAACGACAUAAUUCCAUCGGAAAAAUAUUUACUUUUUUCGGUGCAUUUGUGCUGAUAAAACCACUUCUAAUAGUGAACACACUCAUACGGGGAAAAGCAGCACACCAAGCGCGUCGAAUUACUUCAUCACUCGCCACACAAAACAUUGUUGUCAUCUAUAUUUGCGUCUAGGCGAACGGUUUGGUAUCGUUUUAUAGCUCGAUCUAAUAAACAAUUUUAUCGAUUCGACGAAUCCCCAAUCGUAAAUCGACGAAAAACUUCUACGUGUUUAUAUGCAAGCAAAAUGUCGUAAACACAAUUGCGCCCACAAAAAACCAGCACACAAUCACUUUUCAAACGAACAACUGACUCAUGCCAAAUACGAAACGGAGAGAGAGAGAGAGUUGGAUAUAAAAUUGGAUAUAAAAUUGAGCAUUUUCGAUUUUCGAUCUACGCGUAUUUUCCACAUUUUUAUUGUUCUCAAUAUCGAAACGUCUUAUCGAAAUGGUCAAACAUCCAAAAAUCUCUUGAAAAAUAUACCAGAAAAA